GGCGUGUAGCGCUGGGGCGUCCCAUGUGAAAGACACGCUCACGUGGGGAGCGUGGGAUACGCUCAGGCUAGACGUGGGAGAGGGUGUGGAAUUCCCGGAGUAGCGGUGAAAUGCGCAGAUACCGGGAGGAACGCCGAUGGCGAAGGCAGCCACCUGGUCCACCCGUGACGCUGAGGCGCGAAAGCGUGGAGAGCAAACCCGGAUUAGAUACCCGGGUAGUCCACGCCCUAAACGAUGCGCGCUAGGUCUCUGGGUCUCCUGGGGGCCGAAGCUAACGCGUUAAGCGCGCCGCCUGGGGAGUACGGCCGCAAGGCUGAAACUCAAAGGAAUUGACGGGGGCCCGCACAAGCGGUGGAGCAUGUGGUUUAAUUCGAAGCAACGCGAAGAACCUUACCAGGCCUUGACAUGCUAGGGAACCCGGGUGAAAGCCUGGGGUGCCCCGCGAGGGGAGCCCUAGCACAGGUGCUGCAUGGCCGUCGUCAGCUCGUGCCGUGAGGUGUUGGGUUAAGUCCCGCAACGAGCGCAACCCCCGCCGUUAGUUGCCAGCGGGUGAGGCCGGGCACUCUAACGGGACUGCCCGCGAAAGCGGGAGGAAGGAGGGGACGACGUCUGGUCAUCAUGGCCCUUACGCCCAGGGCUGCACACGUGCUACAAUGGCCGGUACAAUGGGCAGCCACCCCGCGAGGGGGAGCGAAUCCCUAAAGCCGGUCUCAGUUCGGAUUGGAGUCUGCAACUCGACUCCAUGAAGCCGGAAUCGCUAGUAAUCGCGCAUCAGCUACGGCGCGGUGAAUACGUUCCCGGGCCUUGUACACACCGCCCGUCAACCCAUGGGAGCCGGGGGGCA
rnacentral:rRNA from 1 species